UACGUAGGGGGCCAGCGUUGUCCGGAAUCAUUGGGCGUAAAGCGCGCGUAGGCGGCCAGAUAAGUCCGGUGUGAAAGUCAAAGGCUCAACCUUUGAAUGCCGCUGGAAACUGCCUGGCUUGAGUCCGGAAGGGGCGAGUGGAAUCCUGGUGUAGCGGUGAAAUGCGCAGAUAUCAGGAGGAACACCAAUGGCGAAGGCAGCUCGCUGGAACGGUACUGACGCUGAGGCGCGAAAGCGUGGGGAGCGAACAGG
rnacentral:rRNA from 1 species